rnacentral:lncRNA from 1 species
ACAUAUUACCAAUAGUCAUGAACACAUAUAUAUCCAACACAUGUUACCAAUAGUAGCAAGUUUCAUCCGUACAUAUACAUAGUUUCAUCAAUAUUACACAGUUUCAUCCAUAGGUAGCAAGUUUCACAAGGUCAAAACAAAAACUAAAUACAAGCACUCCAUCAACCCAAGCUUCCGUGAUCUUAAGCAAAUCUGUAAAAUGGGAAAGAAGAAAGUUAGAAGAAGAAGACUAGAAGAAGAAGAUUAUUAUGAUGCAGAAAUAUGCAUGGAUUGUCAAAACUUGCAUUAUCCUACUAUCGCUAGUACAACAAAGCUGCAGGUUGGCAUAGUUCAUGAACCAUGUACAUCAUGACAAAUACAAUAUCAUCCAAUGCUCGACUAUGAACAAAAUUGAACAAUUACACCUCACAAAGGCGGAGCAUAGAACCAACAAGCAAGUAGGAGGGGUAUAAGAGGACGUGAGGAGCUCACCGGAGGGGGUUCUAGCCUAGGCUGAGCUUCAUCACCAUGGAUGCGGCUAGGGAAAUCAGACGAGUCUACCAUCAUAGGAGCACCACCACCACCACCGCCAAAACUGGAAUGGCCAGAGCAAAUCGCCAUCAUAUGGGUCACCACCACCGAAUGAUCUUGCAAGGUGUAAAGUCUCCACAUUUCAGUAUAAACUAGUGGCGUCAAGAAACAAGCAGUAGCAGGCAGAAGGUAAAUUCUAGUAACUGAUGAUUAGUAGACAAAAACAGGAAAUAGAUCGCACCAGUAGCAAAGUCCACUGCCGCAAGUCCUAAACAUUUCAUUCAGAUCAUAUAUGAAACUCACUAGUAAGCGUGCAUGUGCAACUCACGUUUCAAACGUUGAUCAAGUGAGUGUGAGUUCACGGUAUAAAACUAAAAUAUGUUUUGCAAAUAAAUAAAUUAAAUGGAUACAAAACUGCAUGUCGUUUAAAUUGUAUUUUAAAAAGUGAGACAUCACUGUGAUCCAAUAAUCAGAUGAAGAAUCAGUUUGUGGCCUCGAUAACCAAUGUUUUCACGCAAAAUGGUUUCUGAGAUGAAUUUACACACAACCAAUAUGUAAGUUCCGAGCACAUGCAAGAGAAGAAUUGAAGUUAUGCAUAUAUCUUACCCUGUUACCAUCAGAUGCAAGUGAACUAUUAGCUUAAGAUCACUUGAGCCCAGAGAGCGAAGAACAUUUUUUUUCAAAUUACAUCAUUUAGAAUUGCAAAAUGGACCAAAGAUAAGAUAAUUCAUACAUUGGAUAAAGUGGCAAAAUAUAGCAAUGGUGUAAAUAGGCAUGGGACAUCCCAAAUAUACAUUGGAUAAAAUGCAAGGUGAUAAUAAGAUUAGAUCUGGUCACUUUAUUACAAAGUAGUAAGACUAAAUCUCCCAAAAUAAAAAUGGUUGUUCUGCCUAUAAAAUAUAUAAUGCAGCCCCAAUUAAAAAAGGUAGAAUAAAUUAUGCCACAAAUUGCAUCAUCGGCCAGCCUAACUGCGCUAAUGUAUCCAUUUCAGAAUGGCAAGCAAGCAAGUGUGUCGGGUAGCUACAUGACUAUAAACUUUAGUGUGGUCGAUGAUACCAGCAACCAUCAAGUCCUCGUACUACCGAACAGAAGGAUCACACACUUGCAGCUAGAAAUAAUCUGGUACGACAUCAUCUUUUAUGCUAUUCAGAUCUAUGCAGAAAUAUAUGAACUUUAUAUUAGUAAAUGAGAUCUAACCUUCUCGGUAACAAUGUUGUCAUUGACACCCACAUUCUUUGCAAUCAAUUUGAAUGGAAAAACUGAAAUGUUCAAUGGUUCAACAUGAUUGUUUGUGACCCACAUGUGGUGGACCGUGUUGGCUGCGGGUAUUAGGAGCACGGGGCAAUGUCAUUCGUUUCUUGUACCUUAUGAAACAGGGUAUCCUUGACACAUCUACUUUAGCAGCCAAUUUGAAAAGAGUUCACACUCCACAACAAUACCUUCCUCAAUGGCAGCGUGCGAAAAGAAGAAGCAAUUCAGAAGCUUUAAGGAAGCAACAAACUAAUUGACUUAAUUCUGCUUCUUUGAAAAGCAAAUACAAAGGACAACUUGAAAUGUUCAAUGAAAAAACAUUGAUUGACUCACCUAGUUACAUUAGAGCAUCCUCAACUCCCAACCUCUCUUUAAGUUCAGUUUAUGUUCGUCCUCCCACCUAUCAAGUCAUGGGUUACAGUCACCAUAUCAUCCUUCCUUCCAACAGGUUAUCAAGGAAAAGAGCAGCAUAUCAACAGAUAAUGCCCUCCAUUAAUACAUGAAUGACAGCGACACCACCGGCCAGUGCUAUCCUCUGGUUGAGUUCUCCUUCUCGUAGUCUAGUUUUGCUGCCAGCAAAUUAGUAAUGAUAACUUAGAAUCAGACUUAAGACUAUGACACUUCCUAUGUUUGCGAUAAAUAAAACAACUACACAUAUAGGUCAUACAAAUAGAUUUAUAAUCAACUCCCAGGAUGAAGCCUUCAAGAAUUUCUAAUAAAGGGAGGCAUAAAGAAAAGAAAAGGAGGCAUAAAGUGUAUUGUAAUAUGAAGAAACUUCUAAUCUGCAUCUACUACCAAGAAUUAUAAAAUGGAACCCUCAAGAAUUAUGCUACCAAGUCAAGGGAGGCAUAGAGAAGAAAAUGGUCGUACCUCAUUGAGAUUUUCUAUCUAUGCCAUCCUCUUAGUCACUUCUUCCUGGGCUACAUGAAACUUCUGUUAUGAGUUGUGAAUGAAAGAUAAAGCAACAACAAGGAGAUGAUAGAGAUAUAGCAGAUCAGAACCAUUUUGACAUAAUGAUAAAUUCCUACAAGAUUCCUGUAAAUCAAAGGAGGUCUUUUCUUUAAUAACAAACGAAAGGAAGCAAGUACAUGCAAAAAUAAAUUUGACACUCUUGCCAAUAAAAUGUUGUACCAAACUACCAAAGUAAAGCAAAAUUUACAGAGGUAUUGUAAUUCGGUUUCUGUACCAAAAUCAACGGGAAAAAAAUCUCAAAGAUGUGGUUAACAAAAUCUGCCGGCAAUGCAAACUUGCAAACAAACAAUACCUACUAAAUCAGUGGUGCCUUGCAAAUGCAGGUUGUUGUGUGCCUACAGAACGUCCUAAUUCCUAAAUGGGCAUUGAAGGCCUACGGGGAUCAGAGGAUCAGCCUUAUUCUUAUGCUUCUACCUACAGGGAUUUUUUGAGCUAGCUAGGUUAAAACUUGAACUAAUUAAUAAUAUAUAUGUAUAUAAUAAUAAUGGAAUACCUGACAUGAACUAUAAUAUUAAUAUGAGGGCCUCCUUGUGUUUAUAUGUAUAGAAUGCUUAUAUGUAUAUAUGUAUAGAAUAUGUAUAGAAUAUGGGCCUCCUUGUGAUUCCUCAAAAGAAUAUCAAAUGUGAAUAAACAAAAAAUCACUCUUAUCAUUUACUUUUCUUUACAUUAAAAUGAAAAACAUCCACCAGGGAAACCUACUGUUCUACUAAAAACACAUUUGUUUCCCUGGGGUGUACUGUUUUGCAAACUUGUUUCUCAUAUCAAUCUUGCUAAAUCUCAGUCGACUGAGACCUCGUUAAGAGUCUCAGUCGAUGCUAUAUUCUUGAGAUCCUACACUGAGAUUUUCUCACAUAGUACUACUAUUUAUGCCAGUUCAUAAGCAUUUUCCACAAACUACUUUGAGAUUUUGCACUGCGUUUGGCUGGGAGGUAACCGAAUUUGCCAGCUGGUUACUUGCUUUUGCCCAUGUUUUGCAGAACAAAUAACAGGCCAUACUAGACAUGAAGAAUGACACUAGGUCCAUGGAAAAAUAGCACAAGAAUUUGUUUUUUGGAUGCUAAGAAAGCCGGCAACAGGCUAAAUUGCACUUCCUCAGCCUCUCUAAAAAAGGCACCUACAGCAUUGGAUAUCAAAAGGACCCGUCGAAACUUAGUUUACGAAAUCGGAGAUAUCGAACUUAGUUUACAAACUCUGCUAGUACAUGAUAUUGCAACCAAGCUUGCAUACCUCAGGUUUUCAAUGUCUUGACAAACGUCAGCAUCACACAAGCUUAAGAGCAUUUUCGAAGCAUUUCAGCAUAAGAAACAUUUCCGGGUCAAGCUUCUAACAAAUAGUCCAUUAGCUUUACCGAACGAUCGUAAUCAUCUUCAACUCCGCACCUCCCUCAAGGUCAUAAGAAGACCUCUUCUCCUUUGACGGAAACACUAAAACUGGAUUUGUUAUUGUUCUCUCCCCUUGUCUUGCAUUGCUUAUAGCCAUUACACAGGCUGAUGCCUGGACGGCCGCACUAUUGUAUUCCACGAAAUUUGAUUGCAUGGCCUGCAAGCUGAUAUCAUCAGAUAAUCACUAAACAAGUAAGCGGUCAAACCG